CAGAGUUUAAUUGAGCAAAGAAUGAUUCACAAUUUGGACAGCCACCAAACCAGAAUAGGUUCAGAGAGAUUCCAUCAGGGCCACGUGGUAGAAGAAGAUUUCUGAACAGAAAAGCAGAAAGUGAUGUACGAAAGAUGGAAGAGAAAAAUGAAGGAAAGAAAAUAAAGAUAGGAUGCAGAACAAUGCUGAAAGAAGCAGUAAAGAGAAGGCAAGAAAGAGAAAGACCCUGAAA